rnacentral:snoRNA from 1 species
AUGCGGUGAUGAGGACCUCUUCUGAGUAACUCCUUAAAUCUUUCCCAAGCCUUAUACAAGCUUUCAUCUUUAAGUUGAUAAAAAGAGGUGAUCUCAUUCCGUAAUUU